rnacentral:rRNA from 1 species
CGGACGGGUGAGUAAUGUCUGGGAAACUGCCUGAUGGAGGGGGGAUAACUACUGGAAACGGUAGCUAAUACCGCAUAACGUCGCAAGACCAAAGAGGGGGACCUUCGGGCCUCUUGCCAUCAGAUGUGCCCAGAUGGGAUUAGCUAGUAGGUGGGGUAACGGCUCACCUAGGCGACAAUCCCUAGCUGGUCUGAGAGGAUGACCAGCCACACUGGAACUGAGACACGGUCCAGACUCCUACGGGAGGCAGCAUG